rnacentral:rRNA from 1 species
UGGUGGAGUGAUUUGUCUGGUUAAUUCCGUUAACGAACGAGACCUUAACCUGCUAAAUAGUAACUACUAAGCUUUCGAAAAACAUAUUUACGUUUAGGGUGAAGUUUCGAUGGAAUCCGACGCGUAGGUAUGUGGAUGUUUAGUAGGAUUCACUUCUUAGAGGGACUAUCUGUAUUAAAGCAGAUGGAAGUUUGAGGCAAUAACA